GGAGAACCUGGCAUCAUCAUAAACAGGUGAUUUUCAGGGAAUGAAGGGAAGAUAUAUAUGUGUGCAUGUGAGUCAAGGACGGAAUCAACUUACUACUCCGAGUUGUUCAGAUGCUUUGGCCUUCCAAAGCCUGAGGAAGUUCCGCAGGUAAAUCCGCAGGAAGUAAUCCACAGUUCAGAUGGGACUUAUCGUGCAUUUUGCACCUCAACAAGAAAUGGCCUGCCUGGGCCCAGCAUUCGAACCUAGAAGAAUAAUUACAUAUCAGAUAAGUUUAUCCACCAAUAAACUUAUAAAAUAAAUCAAAACCAUGAGUUUUUGGUACAUCAAUAUCUUCUCUUCGGGCAGCAUGAAACUUGAAACUAUCAUCUUGGCAUACUGGGAGGAUCCACCAAUUAUUUCCUACAAUGCAAGUAUACAUUACUGUCAUCUUCCACAGUCAAAAGUCAACUUUUAAAGGAAGUGAGUAUCUUCCGACAACAGAAGAUGAGAGAUCAUGUCCACCACUACCAUGAGAACUUACUCUUCCUGUUUGUUUAAUGCCCACUAGAACCCUCCCUAUUGGUAGCACUAGCACCACUGUCUGAUGAACUGUGUCUCCAGCUACCAAAGAACGCAGUGCUCCACGAUCUAUUCGAUGAAGUUGUUCUCAAUUUCACUGAGCUAAAACUUUCUUCUCUCACAAUCUUCAAUGGAUGCAUGAAUCAACAAUUUAAGUAUUUAAAAUAUCAGUAUUCGUAUUUUCUUCGUAUAAUUCCCCUUGGCCCAAUACUCUAGCCCACUCCCCAUCUUUUCUUCUAUUAUAUGUGUGUAAAAGGCCCAAUAGGAAUCAAAUCACAAUAAAGAGAAGGAAAUACAUAAAUAGAUCUAAACUGGCAUUUACCUUUUUCCAUCAAUUAUGACUGAAGGUCGAAUAACUAUCGGUGGCACAGUAAUGUCUGUUAUUAUGAGCUUCUCUGGUUUUUCCAUAUAAAGUAGGUCGCAGUCCUACAACAAAGGGUAACAAGUUUGUUUAGCUUGAGGGAAAAAUAAACCUCUGCAGUCUUAAAACAACAAUCGUUUUAAACAAGUAAUGGACCCUGAGAGGGUCAAGAACUCGAGAAGUCAAGUCAUUGCAUUCCCUAUAAUUGUUUACAUCAGAAAGAGCUGAUUAGCCACAAGUUACAUUAAGUAAAUUACAUUUCAUCUUAGUAAAAACACUAUAUCAGCCAUCCUCUGAAUUUGUUUGAUGCUAUGAGAAACCAUGAUCAGUGUCAUACCUUUGUUCUUGUUCAACUUCAUCAAAGCAUCUUCUAUGUUUUCUGUCGAUAUCGGAUCUAAUGCACUAGUAGGUUCAUCCAACAGCAAAACCUUCCAAAUUAACAACACAAAAAUAUUAAAUAAUCAAACAAACAUUAGUAUUUGGAUUCAUCCUAGUUGAAAUAUACCUCAGGUGAGUUAGCUAGAGUACUUGCAAGUGCAACUCUUUGAGCCUGACCUACAGAGAGGUCAGUGCCAGAUUUAUCCAUGAAAGAAGCAUCCAAAUCCGCCAUUGUCAGCAACUUCUCCACCUCAUUGUCUGUCAGCAACUUCUCCACCUCAUUGUCUACAAGUUUUACUCCGCCUAAAUAGUAUAUAUGACAUUAGUACUUUGCAUAAUUUUUGUUAGCUGUUACUUAGACAGAACACCAACACCUUCCAAAUUGUUUCUAAAACGAGACAUAUUGAAUUAUUCAAAAUGAAGUAUCUCGUGCAUAUCUUACAUUAGUUUUCAUUGACAUAAGUGUGAUAUGUAUUGAAUAAUAUUUCACAUAUUUUAUGAAAUUUUCACAACUCUAAUUAACACCAGGAGUCCCACCAGCUUAAGAUAUACAUAUAUAUGCUUGAUCUUGAGCUGUAUCGACGUGCUCUUUCUUAUCUUAAAAUCUAUGUGCAGUAUGGUGGGACAUGUAUUUAUGUGGCUGUUAUGGUAGAUACAAAUCAAUGAAGCAUACAACCAUUUGAAGAUGACAAUGAAACAAGCAUUUAAUAUGCAUUUCUGAACAGAUAGAUCGCAAAAUUCUAAUCAAAAGCUAUAGUUGAGAGCAAUAGUUUUGUUGUGUCCAUCUUUAUGCAACUUUUGAAAGUGACUUUAUAGAUUCAUGGAACAUCAACUAGCCAAGUUGACAAACUGAUUGAAUCACCUCUUUGUGUGGUUGACAGAAAAUUAGAUACAUUGCUAUUACUAUGAUGCCAAACCAGGUGAUAGGCAUGCCAAGUGAUCAGAUUCUAAUAACAACUACCAAAUACACACCAUUUGUAAGUAACUACCAGAAUAAAAUGUUGAGAACACUUGCCGGAGGUAAACCAGGAAAGGUGGAACUGAAUGUUGUGAGUUACGGUGGAAGUGUGAACAUAUCAACAGGAGAAGUGAACACUACAAUCCACAAAUAUUGGUUCAAAGUUCAUAACAACCAUUAUUACUUAUUAUCCACAAAUAUUAGUUAAUACUAUAAAUCUUAUCUUUUAAUGAGAAACUGAUGAGUAGAAUUGAACUGAUCAGGAUGAUCAAAGUUGUAGUCUUGUACUCUUUUAAAUUUUU